AACUCAGAGUUACCUCCGUUGGUACGUGCCUGUAUCUGCUGAGAAGCCUUCAAUCAGUCGCUUGCCUGAAGCCUCCCCUGAGAAAAAGGAUUUGACCAAGGUGUGCAAGUGACUGAAGAGCACAAGGCAGUCAGCCCGUGCCCUCGCAGCCUUUUCUCCGAGGAAAGUGGCAGUAGCAGGAGCGCACUGGUAUCUCCGUUUUACUCAGAGCUGUACCAGGAUCGCAGAGAAGAGCUCU